GCAACCUCAUGGUUCCUAGUCGGAUUCGUUAACCACUGUGCCACGACGGGAACUCCAAUUUCUCUUAUUUAAACCUCGGAGCAAUUACAUUAGUUCUGAUUCACCUUUCAGGCACUGGGUAGGACUGCACUUCCCCACCACCCUCUAGUUGGCUAGGGCCAUGAGACUUGCAUUGGUCAAUGAAAUAUGAGCAGAAAACGUGGGUCAGUUCCACGUGGGGUCAUGUAAGAGUGGAAGUACAUCCUCUUAUCCUCCCUUUCUUGCGUGGGUGAAUGGAUCCAGGUGGUGGAACCCGGGUCCCUGAAUGAAAAUGAUGUAGAACAGGGAACACACGCAAUCCAUGAGGAACAUGUGGGAUUAACGAGAAAUCAAUCCCUGGCUUUUAACCCACUGAGCUUUAGGGUUAUUUGUUACAGCAGCAUAACCCAGACUAUCUUUACUGACUCAGUACACUUUAGCUGUGUUUUUACUAGAAAAUUAAGGAUCAGAUAAAUUACAUCAUUUGUUCAAAAACACACACCUAAAAGAUGGUAGAAGUGGGAUUAGGAUUUAGGUCUAAUUCCAGGGCUAAGAGUUGCUGUCAAUUGAAUCAUUUACUCCGUGCUUCUUCCUAAUUUACUCAAGAAACAUUUUCUGAAUGGCUAUUUUAUUACCCACUGUUAGUUUAGGGGAACAGGGGUAUUACAGAUUUUAACAAAUACCCUACCCAUAAACAGAACACUUACUGAGGGAAGAUUAUAUGCCAGGUACCACUGCAAAGAAUGUCUUCCAGGUUAACAUUUAUCCCCCCCCCCAGUGAAAUGCCACUUUGGGUUUUCUGUUUUUUGUUUUUUUGCCUUUCCUAGGGCCAUUUCCCCAGGUAUAUGGAGGUUCCCAGGCUAGGGGUCUAAUUGGAGCUGCAGCCGCCAGCCUACACCACAGCCACAGCAACGCAGGAUCCAAGCCGCAUCUGCGACCCACACCCCAGCUCACGGCAACGCCAGAUCCUUAACCCACUGAGCAAGGCCAGGGAUCGAACCCGCAACCUCAUGGUUCCUAGUCGGAUUCGUUAACCACUGCGCCACGACGGGAACUCCACCACUUUGGUUUUUAAUACCGGAACUUCUUGGAGUGUAUAUAGUUCUCGAUGUGUCUUCACCUAAUUUUUACGUGGGGAAAUGUAUGCUCUCAAAACUCAUUACAACAUUUUUAACAAAAUGAUGAGCACAAAAAUCUCAAGGUUAUAUUUUGAAAUUCAAUCAGAAGGUCAGAACCAUGUGUGGACGUGAAAUGGCUGGCCAAGGCCAACACAGGUGACGUGAGGUUGGAUGUUGCUGACUGGAGGGGAAUCACUGUGGGAAGGGAGCUGGUUUUUAGCCACCAUAUUAAAUGUUUAGCUCUCAGAAGUAAUGUUUUUGAACUUUUACAUACUAAUGUGGUAGUUUGUUACUUAUCGCUACAAGGUGGGCUGGCCUAGGCCAGAUGGGCCAAUGAGAUGCAAGAAGACCAGCUGAGGCUUCUGGAGACGGGUGCCGGCUGCCUCAUCCUUCACACUGUCCUCUCCAGCCAGGACGGCUGAGGUUGCAGAAGUACUCCCUGGACCAGGCUGGGGCUGCACACUGGAAGAGGAAGUCUACAGAGCCAGGAGAUGAGAUAAACUAGAUCUGCGAUGAUGACGGUGGUGGUGGUGGUGAACCAGUCAACCAUCUCUGUAACCUAGCUACCUCUGGGCUUCCUGUGCUGUGACGCAAGAAACAGCCAUAUUCUUUCAGGCUUGAAGCGCUUAUCCCCAGGGGUUUAUGAAGACUCUCAAUGAAUCCCAGAGCAGAGAUGUCUCCACGGGAAGCAAUGCUCAGAUCCUGAACUGCCACGGGUUUCCUUUCCUGAAACAGAUCUGACUCUGAAAACAGCCAGCCUUCUCAGCUGUCCAUCCCUCAAUGCACAACUGCCCGCCUCUGCCCAGGCGGGUGUAUAGAGCUCUAGGACUCCAAACAACAGAAAGCAUGAAAAUACUGGUUUCAGGGAAGUAGCCUUUAAUGAAUAAUAAAGCUCCUUAAGCUCCUAGGCUUGCCUGUCUUUCCCUGACUUAUACAUAGUUCUGUUAAAUGUGAAUCUGGCUCUAAAAACAGGAUAUUUUGGCCCAUACUGGGAUCUCCUAAAUUCAGACCAGUCAAAGCAAUAUAGGUUAGUGGCUGUGACUCAUUUAAAUGGAAUGUGUUGCAGGACCACCAAACUUUUCGAAAUCCGUCCGAAACAACUCCCAGGGGAAAAUUUGAUUUCUUUCAGAUUCUGUGUGAUUUAAUAAGGUUGUGAAAACCUAUUUUACCUAAUCAUAUUAUAGAAUAUUUCUUUCGAUUACAAUCGUCGUCUUACUGAAUCUUACAAAAUAUGUGCUAUUUUGUCUCAAAAGAAGAAAAAUCUUAAGUUACCAUAGAAUUAUUUUAGAUGUUAGCUUUAUAAUGUAAAGGAGGUGUGACCUGUCAGAGUUCUCUUGAGGGGACACACACACAAAUACAUGAAGAUGAUCAGUUUAAAUCAGAAUAAUCCUGGCCAACCCACAACCUCAUUCCUGGUGGCUGAGCUACAGGAACUUAGUUAGCAUAGGGUACAAAUCCUGGGAGAAAAAAAGACCUCAGACAAAGGCAGAGUCACACGUGCCUGGGGUCAGGGCCAAUAGGGCAGCCAGUCGGACUCCACACCCCCUUUUGUCCAGCCCUCAGGGGCCUCAGGAGCAAAGCUGCUACAAGACAGUAUUUGAAAAGGGAUUUUCUGGCCCAGUGGGUCAAAUCAAAAGAUUCCCUUCCACCCAAAUAAAAGGGCUGUGGUUCCUCCUUCACCUCCAAGUAAGUGUGAGUACACAUGUACACACACACACACACACACACACACACGUGGGGGAAGCCUUUACCAUAAAUUACCGCAAACUAAGCCAGUGAGUAACUACCGUCUUGAACAUUUUCUGCUACUAUCAAAAUUUGUCUUCAAGAGCCGGAAUGUGAAGUAACAUUUCAGCAUGCACAGUAUCCGGCUGUUUCCAAGUUAGCUGAGGGGUUUCCACACUGGUUAAACCAUCACACUAAUAAAGCUCACACAUCUAACCAUAGUGCCUUUGGUUGGAUUUUUAAAAACAUGGUGUGUGCAAGGCUGGGUAAGGGGCAGGAAAGGAAUGAUUCUCCAAAGAAGAUCUAGACACAAACUCUACUUUCAUUGCCUGAGAAAGACUCUGGCCCCCUCUGUGGCUAAAACCUUAGGUUGGGCAUGAUCCCUACACUGACCAGAGGGGUUCUCAAACCCUGACGUGCAUCCAAUCACGCAGGAUGUUGCUCAAAACUCAGAAUCCCAGGCCCCGGAUCAGGAUCUCCAGCAUUUCGAGCAGAGGCUUUGUAAUUUUAACAAACUUCCCAGGGAAGACUGCGGCUCACUCCGGUCCGAGAACCAGCACUAAGAAAGCUCUAGGAAAGUGGUUCUCUAACAUCUGAUUCAUAUAAAUCAUUUGUGGAGGUUUUUUUUUUUUCUUUUUAUGGCCACACCUGCAACACAUGCAAGUUCCCAGGCUAGGGGCUGAAUCAGAGCUGCAGCUGAGGCCUACACCACAGCCACAGCCACGCCAGA
rnacentral:lncRNA from 1 species